rnacentral:rRNA from 1 species
CCUACGGGGGGCAGCAGUAGGGAAUCUUCCGCAAUGGACGAAAGUCUGACGGAGCAACGCCGCGUGAACGAUGAAGGUUUUCGGAUCGUAAAGUUCUGUUGUUA